GAAGAAAGAACACCUUGGUUUCUACCACAUAUGGAAAUUUGUCUAAUCUGGCAGAUAUGUACAUAUAUAGAUAUUAAUGUGAGAUCAAGCAGAAAAGACAGGAAGAUCUUGUUCUAAGUUGUUGAUUCGGUUUGGGUUCUGGGACGUUCCCAUUACUGGCCACCUCUCGCUGCCCUAAUGGAGACAAGUCACUGCACAUGUGUACCGAUACAGAGGCACCAUUAUGCACCUUCCCAAGUCAGCUGAUAAAACAGGUCCUCCCCCUACCUGAAAUGUCUGCCAAAGAAGAUUGCCUUGUACUCUGGGACAACAAUGGAUAAAGAAAAUGUGCUAGUCAUAAUGAGAGAAGGCUGCUUUUCCUCAUAGGCUACAAAUAAACUAUGCAAAAUACGAAUAUUUUAUACCA
rnacentral:lncRNA from 1 species